UUAAAACUAAGUAAAAAUCAUCAAAAACUUUAACCAUUAGAAUCAUUCAGGACAGACUCAACGAAAUCCCCAAAUUUGAUCGACAAAAACUUAGGUCGGAGAAUCAAAAAAUUCACAACGACUCUCUAACUUUUCAGUCGAUCGGCGUUGAUACUGUGCUUUGAAAACAGAAAUACUAGUUUAAGAUAUUCACCUGGUUUGUUCAUAUCUAAUUUGUUCUUUGAGUUUCUAUUUUUGUUGUGUUUAUAUGUUGAGUUUUAACGAUUUUGUGUUAUUAAUUAUAGAGGAAGAUGGAUGUGGUCUUACAAGUACCGGGGAGAUUACAGAGUCGAGGAAUAAAGAAAGAUCGAGAACGGAAUCGGUAUGGGAACGGGGAGAGGGAGCGGUCGAGUAGGAGUAGUAAGAGGGAAGGAGAGAGGUUGAUGAACAUGAUAGUUCGGAGGAGGAGGAGAGUGUGAAUGAUGAAGAUGAUACCUUAUGAAAGCACUUGAACCUUUUAGUCAGUGGUGGUGUUGGCUCGGUUUGACCGAUUUCGCAUGCUUUCUUGCUAAUUGUGGCUUUAAAAUCUUGGGUGUUGUAUUUCAAUUUAUCAUAUUUGAUUGUUAUUGUUUAGCUCUUGAUUUAUUGGAUUUGUUUUCUCAUCUCUACUCUCCAGUUUUAUAUGUUCCUUUCGGAUUUGGGCUGGCUAGGGGUUAUCCCCAUGUCUGAUUUCCCAUUUUGUUUAUUAUUGAAAUUUGAUUUGUUGGAGUUUUUUUUCCUUCCAAAUUUUCAUGAUUUUCUCUGUUUUUCCGAUCUUGGGUCCGUAGAGACUCUUUAGGUUUGUUGAAAAGUUUUCCAUUAACAAAUCUUUUUGUUAUGGUCAAUUGUUGGUAUCCUGGCUUGGGAGUUCAUCCAUGGUGACUACGGCUCUUUCAUUGCCGGAAUAUAUGGUGGUUUGAUCUUAUUUCAUUUUUAGCUUUUAUUUUGAUUUGUUUUUAUGAAAAAUGAGAUUUGAUAAUUUUACCCUUAGAUAUUUAAUAAAUGUAAAAAUCUAUUUGAAAUAAUAAUUUUUAAUGCCGC
rnacentral:lncRNA from 1 species